rnacentral:lncRNA from 1 species
UAUUAUAUUCUUCAUUAAAGAUAUGAAUAAAAUACAGAGUUAUAGAGAAUUUGAACAAUCGCAGUAAAUCAACAUCAACUUGACAGAUAUUGUAGAUCAAAUUAGAAAAACUGCGAAAACAUCGGUGCACCCAUUGAAUAAUCUAACUUCUUCUUAUAGACUUCUACAUAUUCCGCUCCAAAGGAAAUGUGCAUCUCGCCUAUGCGGAUAUGUUGAUAUGAUCUACCUUGUAAAAUCUUCCGUGUUAAAUUUUAGCCAGAGAACCGCCAUUCGUGAGACAUGGGGCAGCAACACCCGAAUGCGUACAUUGACGAUAUUUAUCAUCGGAUACAGUGAACCUUUACAAUCAUUUAUUGAUUUUGAAUCAAAACAUCACGAUGAUAUUCUACAGUUCGAUAUGCAAGAUACAUAUGAUAACCUCGUGUUUAAAACUGUCUUCUCAAUUGCUUGGUUGUGUGAUAGUAACAUCCAGGCAAAGUUUAUACAUUUCGUGGAUGAUGAUAGGAUGAUCAAUUAACAAAACCUUUUAGACUUGGCAAUUAAAAGUAUACCAUUAUUCGAAAUGAAAAUGGUAGGUUUAAAGUUACUUCUGCAAAACCGUAUCGCAGAAAUUCUUCCAAAUGGUAUAUAUCAGUAAACGAAUAUGAGUUUGAUGUUUGGCCUCCGUAUUUGAUUGGAGGAACAGCAGUAACAAAUAUGCAGGUAAUAAAAACACUAAGGGAAGCAAUACCUUAUUCCAAAGUUAUUCGAAUCGAAGAUGCCUAUAUUGGAAUACUGGCAAAUAUGCUAAAUAUAAACGUAGAACAUAAUGAAUAUUUUUUGCCAGUUUUUGUACCUGGUAGUGAAUUAAUUAAUAAAAUAUCAAGUCCGGAUAAUAAAAGUUACGACAUCAUGAUCAGAGAAUGGAAAGUAAUGGACUCUUAUUUUUAUCUUUGAUAAAGAUUAUUUGGUACAAAAUGAAAUGUUGUAGUCUGCAUCAAUUUUAGAGCUAUGAUUUCAGACUUGCUCUUUGCCUACAUGACCACUAGGUUGUAAGUUUGUUUGUUGGUUAGAUUGUGGGUUGUUUUUUGUUUGUUUGGGGGGUGGGAUGGGAGGGGCGUUGUAAUGUAGACAGUUGGGUCUAUACAAAAGUUCCAUUGAAGGGACUUCUCUUGAUAAAACAUAGUCAUAUUUCUGAUAAUUUCUCCAAACUGGCAUUGUCUCGAUUUUGUAUACUAGUACUUUACUGAUGAAUCAAAGUCAAAAUACGUGUAAAGAAGGCAAAUGAUAAGAUUCAUCAGUAAAGUAUAAAAUGACGUUUGGCAAAUUUUGAAUAAUGCAGUUGGAACUUUAUGAACCAUUCAAAUGUUUAUCAAAAUAGAUACAUCACUGAAACAUUGAAAUGAUUUUAGAUAGCGUAUCAAAACUGGACCCAAUCUAUGUGUAUUUUCUGUUGAAGGCGGGAAAAUUCCUUCCCUUUUUUGUUAUAGUAAGUGCUGUAAUUAAGCAAUUAAGUCAUUAUCAAAACUGAAAAAAAAUAAA